UGUAACCAUUAUGAGUUUCUUAUUUUUCAAUUACCAUGCAGAAAAGUGAGCUUCUGAUAGGAGUGUAUAUUCUGGUGAAUUUUUUUAACAUGUGCACAGAUACAUUUGACCAUCACCAUACUCGAGGAAGACAAGUGUUGGCAUCAAAGAGCCGUGCCCCACCCCACUCCUCAUCUGUACCAUGCAGUAUCUAGAAAUGUGAGGAGAGUCCUCCAGCCACCAUGAAUAUCUACACUUCAUCCUAUUGGAUGGAGUUUGAAGACCACAGGAUACUGAAGAGAAACACAGGGGUAGCUGAGAAGACUGGGAGGCUCCUGAGGACCAAAAUGGUAGAGGAGAGAGCCACCUUCUGCAAGCUGUCCUUCUCUGACCUCCACACAUGCACUGUGAAGCACAGACUCCAGCUCCAGGGAUCUGAUGUCAUCAUCUGGCCUCUGUAGACACCUGCACUUAUGUAGACAUAACAGAGAUCGAGCGAGCGAGAGAUUAUUAAAAAUAAUAAAAGUACAUCUUUAAAGAGAAAUACUAAUGGUAAGACAGAUGACAUCUGCGAUUUCCAUACCGAUGUCUAAUUCCAACACAGUUAGAUCCUGUGAUUAUAUCAACAGGGAUGUGGCAUCUGCCAAUGAACCACUAGGCCAAUCAAGUGAUAAAUCAAACAAAGGACAGUUGUGAAAUCACUGAGAAGUGAUUGCAAAGCAUGAAGAGAGAUUAUCCAUCCUGCUGAGUUACAUAGGUGUAGAGACCACACAUGAGAGUGAUAGGCUGUGAUUCCUGAGAUCUAAGGAGAGCGGCUCAUAACACAAAUGCAACAACUUAGCAGGGAGUGGAUAUUUUAUCGCAAGCUCUCUGGAAAGUCUCGUCUAUGUAUAAUAUAACAGCAAUCUGGGGACUCUCUUGAGAUUGACUUUCAAAUAUCUAAAGUUGACAGAAGCCAUCCCAGAGAACUUGGGAAUCAUAAUUUUACAUGCACCAAAAUCCUAGCAGGAAAUAGAAUCCACCACAGAUGGUCAGGAUGAAGAUACAUCUCAUAGGUAGGUUGAUGAUGGUUCCGAGAACCAGAUAUGGUGAUGUGCCCUCCUAAACUGUUCAUAGAAGAAGGUAGAAAGCCAUUUCUGCUUGCAGGACUGGAGGAUAUGGAUACAUAAGUCACCGGAAGCCACUGAAAACUGGGCUGUAGAGAAGAAGACGUCCUGCCAGACUUGUAGUGGUACAAAGAUUGAACUGCAAUCAGAAGAUGACAUCAAGAUGUCAAAAGAAGUCAAAAAAACUUCAAAAUUGGCCCAAAAUAAAAAGAGCAUAUUCGUCAAAUCAAAAGAAACCACAAAAGACACCGAUUCAAGUGAAUCUUAGGCUCUGUGAAGCACAGGAAGAAGACACUGAUGUCAGGAAUUGCCUUAUGCAGAUAAAGUGCUUUGAAAUUUUGUUCCAGACCUUGAGUGAAGUUUCUGUCUGCCUCUGGAGUAUAUUGCUCUCACCGAUGAAUAGGACGCUAUGAACUUGCCCUUUAAUUGGCUGGUCAAAAAAGUAGGCAGCACAUUCACUCAUGGAGUGGAUGACGUACAGAGAGGGACUCCAGACAAGCAUGCAUAGGCAGAAACCUUGCCGAGCAGAAGAUGCUGCCUUAAGUUAGAGGUCAGGCUCAGGAAGGAGUCAAAGAGCCCAUUGUGCUGCUGAGAAUUACCCACAGCCAAAUGCAUGCUGAGCCUUGCUUCCUGCACGGCGGAUACUGCUUACAGUCCCGUGAUUUUAAAAAAUAACUCUUUCUUCGUACAUCAGAGAUUACCACAAGUCACAGACCUUGUGAGCCAACCCGAACCUGGCUGGUGUCAGAGACUGACCAUCUAUUAUCCAAGAGCUGUCUCCUCCUCCUCCCAGGAAGGAUUUAGGAACUGCAGGCUGUACCAUUGACAAAGCUUCCCCCCAAGAUGAUGAAGCUGUAAUGCAAAUACAUGAGAUUCCCGCCAGAGGAACCUGAAGGAGGGCGAUGAAGUAUCAGAAGAGGACAGGACAAGGGAAGCAACUCACAGCCCUCCAGAACUGUCAAUCAAGGAUUUAGAGGGAUUUAGAAAGACAGUUUUAAAGGGAGCAUCAACCUUUCCUAUCAUGUUUAUAGCAGCCAAACAUAAGAUUUAAAGAUGCUGGCUUUCACAGAAUGACCCAGAAAGAUUAAAUCAGAGCCAACCUCAGAAUUAAGUGUGCCAGAUGCUGCACUGAGCCCUACAAUCAUCUUGUUUAAUCUCUCUGACGUCUGUGAUGGGUACGGUUAUCAUCUCUCCAUGACAGGUGGGGAAACUGAGGCUUUGGCCUUAUGCAACUCUAGGACCAAGCAGAGGGGUGUUGAAUCCACUAUUAGGUGUUACCUCUGAAAUGAAGAAAUGGUAGGUACCAUGAGUGUCCAGUAAAUAUUAAUUAAAGAUCUCUCAUGUUGAUCAGGCCAAAUAAAAGCAUGAUUGGAUUAACAGAGAGCUGGCUCUGAGCUGUUAUGUAACAUGGUGUAUAUUACUUGAUGUAUCUGGGUAACAUUAUCUUCAUCAGAAAGAUUAGAUGUUGUGUGGGUAAAAGGACAUGAGGAAUAAGGCAUACAAUUCAAAUAAGCCAUGCAUUAUGUCUAAACCAGAGUCCCCACUGUCACUCCGAUCCAAGCUCCAGCUGUCUGAAAUUACUUCUCUCCCCUAGAACAAAGGCACAUGGGGACUGGAAAGACACAAUCCUUCCACUCCUCGGUCCCCUGUGGCUUGGCGGAGAAGGGCACUGUUGUAACCAAGAACGGCCCUUCCUCAUAACCACCACUGUGUUCUCACCACAUGAUCUUCUUGGUUCCAGUCAAAAGCCCUGUGCCCACUCCUGACUUGAAAGGACCCACAGAGGAUUUUUCUCUUUGCUUAGCUCUGUGGCUCUUUCCUAGCAGUUGGAAUACAGAAAUAUUUUCCACCCAAAACGACCACAUAAUGACAGGAAAAAGCUGUUAGACUCUGUGCAGAGGGAAACCAUCGUCUCGAGUGUUUUCAGACAUUCCUUUGCUUUAUUUUAAAAGGAAUCCUCUCUGUUUCCUUUAAAGGCAUUAAGGAGAAGUGACCGGUCAGGAUUCACUGGACCAUAGACUUGGUUACUUUUAUAUCCAUUCGUAUCCUGCCCCGCAGGGUUCAUUUCUCUGCUUCACUCAAGAACCAUCUGUCUCAGUCGUACUCAUAGCCCUCAUCUACCCAGACUCUCAAAGUCUGAGAGUCUGUCUCCACGUUCCUCAGGUAGACGUCUUCGACACUCUCCAUAGGAACAAAUCCUAUGUAAAGCCUAAGGUCAUGGUUUCUUCCCCAGAGUUUUUCAUUAAUUAAUUUAUUUAUUCACUUUACAUCCCAAGCCCAGGAUAACAGCCCCUUUCCCUCCUCUCCCCCAGUCCUCCCCUCCCAUUCCCUUUCCCUAUCCCCCCUCCUCUUCUCUUUAGAGAAGGAGAGACUACGCCCCUGGAUACCAACCUGUCCUGGAACAUCAAUUCUCACCAGGACUAAGUGCAUCUUUUUCCCACUGAGGCCAAGCAAGGCAGCCCAGCUAAGAGAAGGGGAUCCAAAGGCAGGCCACAGAGUCAGAGUCAGAGUCAGAGACAGGCCCCGCUCCAAUCAUUGGGGGACUCAUAUGAAGACCAACUCCACAUCUGCUACAUAUGUGUAGGGAUUUCAUGUAUUUUCAUUACUCUGCCUGAGAGCCUGAAUCCAGGGAUCCACCCAACAGAUACUUGGAAAACAUGCUGAAAGUAAGCUUCGAAGUAUCAAGGAAACCAUUCACUAAUAGACUAAGAUGAAAAUAUAUUAUGAUGAAUGUAUUUCUAAUAAAGGCCAUCCUUUC
rnacentral:lncRNA from 1 species